GGUUUAAUGGUCUAGUUGGUUAUGACAUCUGUCUAACACACAGAAGAUCUCCAGUUCAAGUCUGGGUUGAACCU
rnacentral:tRNA from 1 species